UGAGUAAGCCGGAUGAUCGCGUGUAUCACUAUGAUACAUGAGGAAAGUCCGGGCUCCGUAGGGCAGGGUGCCGGAUAAUACCCGGUGAAGGUAACUUUAAGGAUAGUGCAACAGAAAUAAACUGCCUUCAAAAUAUUGGAUUUCCUAUAUUUUCAAGGUAAUGGUGGAAAGGUGAGGUAAGAGCUCACCGGCAUAUAGGCGACUAUAUGGCCAUGUAAACCCCACUCGGAGCAAGACCAAAUAGAGAAGCAUAUGAGGCUGCCCGCUUCGCUUCCGGGUAAGGUCGCUAAAGUCUGCUGGCAACUGCAGAAUCAGAUAGAUGAUCAUCCAAGACAGGACCCGGCUUAUAGGCUUACUCAUUAA
rnacentral:RNase_P_RNA from 1 species